UACGGAGGGGGCAAGCGUUAUUCGGAAUUAUUGGGCGUAAAGGGCGCGUAGGCGGCUAGAUGUGUCAAAGGUGAAAUCCCUCGGCUCAACUGAGAAACUGCCUUUGAAACUGUCUGGCUUGAGGCCGGGAGAGGGUAGCGGAAUUCCCAGUGUAGCGGUGAAAUGCGUAGAUAUUGGGAGGAACACCAGUGGCGAAGGCGGCUACCUGGACCGGUUCUGACGCUGAGGCGCGAAAGCGUGGGUAGCAAACAGG
rnacentral:rRNA from 1 species